rnacentral:rRNA from 1 species
GAUGAACGCUAGCGGCAGGCCUAAUACAUGCAAGUCGAGGGGUAGAAGAGGCUUGCUUCUUUGAGACCGGCGCACGGGUGCGUAACGCGUAUGCAACCUACCUUCAUCUGGGGGAUAGCCCGGAGAAAUCCGGAUUAAUACCGCAUAAAAUCACAGGAUGGCAUUAUCCAAUGAUCAAACAUUUAUGGGAUGGAGAUGGGCAUGCGUGUCAUUAGCUAGUUGGCGGGGUAACGGCCCACCAAGGCGACGAUGACUAGGGGAUCUGAGAGGAUGGCCCCCCACACUGGUACUGAGACACGGACCAGACUCCUACGGGAGGCAGCAGUAAGGAAUAUUGGUCAAUGGAGGCAACUCUGAACCAGCCAUGCCGCGUGCAGGAAGACUGCCCUAUGGGUUGUAGACUGCUUUUAUUCGGGAAUAAACCUUAUUACGUGUAAUAAGCUGAAUGUACCGAAGGAAUAAGGAUCGGCUAACUCCGUGCCAGCCGCCGCCGUAACAC